AAAGAAACACCAGCACCAGCACCACAUAAAAAGAAAGCACCAAAGUCUUCACCUGUUCCUUCCCCAGCAAUUAACCCACCAUCACCUGCACCAGCACCUGCAAUAGACACACCAUCAUCAGCACCAGCACCAACACCUGAAGAUGACACGCCAGAACCACCACCCCACAAGCACAAGAGAAGAAAACACAAGCAUAAGCAUAGGAGACAUCAUGCGGUAUCUUUAGCUCCAGAACCAACAAGUACAACAAUCAUUAGGAGGAGUCCCCCAGCACCACUAGCUGAUGAUACUACUCCAGCAGAUUCUGAUGAGUCACCAGCACCAGCACCAAGUCCCAAUGCGGUACCAUUUUACUUUAAGUUACAUUGAUAUAUUUAUGGACCUCUCUGGUCUGGAUUAUACAGCAUUAAUGCAGUCAUGUAAUCUCAGCCAUCUGAUCUUUAUCGGAUGGUUCGUACUCUAACUUAGAGAAACAGGUCUAUAUCACACAUUUAAACUGUUAUCCGGUCAAGAUCAAAUGGUCAGGAUUUACAACAGCGUGAAUGCGUGAUUGCACCCAAUCCACUUUCCUUACAUACAUAAAUGUCUAAUAGAAUGCGACAUAUAUCAUAAAAUUGGAUUGGUUUGAGUGGAGAAGAGUUUUGUUCUCCUUAUAUAAGAUCUUAAUUCAAAUCUUGUAAAUAGAGAAAUGACGUGUUAAGAGAGAUUUGUCCCUUACAUGGGACCACUUGGCUCGACCUGAAUUUGUUAGGGUCCAAUGUGAGAUCCAGUAACAAGGGUUUAGACCCAAAAAAGAAUAAGACAAAGAUAUAUACUUAAAUCUUUGACGCUACUCUAAGAUUGUGAAUCUUGAAAGUGUGAACAAUUGUGAAAAUGACUGUAUAUGUUGUUUAUGUUUCAAAUCCAAAGAGCUUUUUGCAUGUGAUAAAACUGGCUAAAGCUUCGUUACCAAAUCUUAUGAUUUUAUUUUCACAGAAUGGUGCACCAUCAUACCAAGGGCAAUGGAGAAAGAUAAUGGCAACUGGUGGACUUGCUGUUGCCAUUUUGUUAUGUGUCACUUGAAUACCUGCAGCAGAUGCUAUAUAUAUCAGGUCAUUUGAAGAAACAUGGAUUCACGCAAAGCGGUUAAAUUUGGUUUGCAAAAAUAUAAAAUUAUUUCAUAUGUAUGAAAAUGAAUAAUGAAAAAUUAUACUUAUAAAUUAUUAAUUUUUUAUCCUUCCGUUCUUUCAUUGUAUUGUGGUCUUUGCUCAAACAAUAUUAGUGAUAUGAGAUUUUGAGUUAUCAGGAAAUGCAAAGUGAAAUAUGUGUGUCUAAUACUUCAUGACAAGUCCAUUAUAGUCAGUUUUACAUUAUGAAUCCAAAGCCGAAGGAAAAUGCACAGUAAUGAGAUCAUGAACACUCAAUUGCUUAAAAAUAAAACAUGUGUAAUGUACCAGUACUUAAUACUUACACAUAUAAUUGUGUUACAAAUUAAAUAUGAGCAUGAAAACUCAUGCAAUGCUGGAGUAAAUGUUAUUGCUAUUUUCUAACAACAGUCAACAAUAAGGUCCCCAAAAUAAAUGUGCAGUAAUAAGGCAACCAUAAGAUCAGUUAGAACUAGUUUGUGACCCAUGCAACAUGUAAAUUUAUGCUUAUAUGUGAAAGUGAUUACUCAUUAUUUUAAAUGUAAAAAUAUAACUUAUUUGAACCAUAAAAACACAAUAAAUGUGAUUGUAGCACAAAAAGAUGUGUUUUCCAAUAUAAAAAAAAUAGUAAAAGCUGGGUGUUCUUAAUUUGACAAAUUUAAACAAGUAUAAAAUUUUUGUUAACAUCAUGGGUUGUUUAUUAAGAUGCAAUACCACAGCAAAUUGAACAUAACAAAAGAACUUCUCUCCUUUACUUAGUUGUAGUUUGUACCAAAUUUAUAAUAGCAAAACGUUAAAUUUCUGUUUGUAAAUACAUCGGAACGUAAUGGUAAGGAACUAAACAGUUUUGAUUGUUGAAACUAAAUCACACAUAUAAGCUGAAAAUUUUGUAAAUUGUAAUAAUAGGACUAAAAGGAAAACAAUGGUUAUAGUUAUAGUGGGAGUCAUCUUCCAUUCCCACAAUGAAAUAUUUCAUACAACCAAAGAAAUGCAUCGUGAUAAAUUGAUAAUCAUAUGCAACAGCUUACAAUAUACCCUAUGUUUUGAUAGGAAGAAGUCUAAGUACAUUUAAAUAAUUUAAACAACUGGGAAUUCCAUAUUGUAUCAUACGCUAAACCACAAACAUAACUGUUCUUCCAUUAUAAAUGCAUAAAGAACUUUCAAAAUAAAUGACACAUCUGAUGAAAUAACAACUAGAUUGAAGAAAAUGAGAAUUGUGUACUUUGAGAAACUAGCAACCAUUAGUUAAAGAGUUUAGCUAAUAAUUUCUAAAAUAUUGAUAUAAAACAUACAACUUAAAAGUCUUGUAAUUUUGCUAGAAAAGAAACAAAUUACUUAAGGUUGAACAGAUUUGCAUAUUACAAAAGAAGCAAUGACUUCAAUUAUCCACUUCCAGGAACAUGUGUGAAUUUUAGAAAUGUGGGGGGGCGAAAAGUAGCUCCCCAAUUUUAAGCUCACAACCCACAAUAAUAUAGCUUCAAUUGCAAUUUAUAGCUAAAGAAUCUAAUAGUUCUAUGAGAAUGAGACACCUCAAAAACUUGCAUAAAAAAUAUCUUACUUAACCACUAACUUAGUAAGGGACACCAAAGGAGUUUUAAGAAGGAGGUAUCGGUUCAAACUCAGAAAAACUAUCAUAACAGCUAACUUAAUAACAUUUGCCUAUUGAUUUUUUUCUUUUGCCAAUGUUUUACACAUAUGACCUGCAAAUUUGGUUUAGAUCAAUUUUAAAAUUUUGAAGAAGUGAAGUAACAAAGUUAAAAAAAAGUAAUAAAAUUUAAAAAUAAUAUGAAUAAUUGCAAGAAAGCCAUUACAGUUGCAUCAGAACAUCGGCUAGCUUCAAUAAUCAACUACACAAUUAUGAAUGAAAUUUAGUAAAAAAAUGUUAAAAUUAGUAGUGUUUAUUUUUGAAAAAUCAAAAACUUGUCUAAUAAAAUGAUUAAUUCUAAAAAAUAAUAAUAAUUAAGAAAUGGUUAUGCAAAAUUGCGAGUUACCUAAAGAGGGGUAAAAAAGACCAUUGCAAUUCAAACAUACAUCAGACAAAGAGAAUGGAUUUCACUUCAGAAUUGAUUCCAAAAUGAAACGUGAGAUUGGAUUGAAGUGGCGAUACGUAACCAAACAUGUCCAAAUCGCUUUUGAUGGGAUGAAACCUGCUGUUGAUGAUUUUCACCAGCCAGCCAAACAUCCUUUUUUUUAGAAUUGAUUCUAAUUUAAAAUAGAAAAAUAAAAUCAACUUUUUUAUAUAGAGUCCAUGUUGAUUCUAGAGGUAGUGUAAAUUUUGAUUCUAGAAUAGAAUUGAUUUGAC
rnacentral:lncRNA from 1 species